rnacentral:rRNA from 1 species
AGCAGCCGCGGUAAUUCCAGCUCCAAUAGCGUAUAUUAAAGUUGCUGCAGUUAAAAAGCUCGUAGUUGAAUUUCGGGACUAAUAUGUCGGUCGUGCCUCGGUACGUACUGGUAUUUUGGUUUCUCCCUUCUGACGAACCUUGAUGUCAUUAAUUUGGUGUCUUGGGAAAUCAGGACUGUUACUUUGAAAAAAUUUAGAGUGUUUAAAGCAGGCUCACGCUUGAAUACAUUAGCAUGGAAUAAUGAAAUAGGACGUUUGAUUCUAUUUUGUUGGUUUCUAGGAUUGACGUAAUGAUUAAUAGGGAUAGUUGGGGGCAUUAGUAUUCAAUUGUCAGAGGUGAAAUUCUUGGAUUUAUUGAAGACUAACUACUGCGAAAGCAUUUGCCAAGGAUGUUUUCAUUAAUCAAGAACGAAAGUUAGGGGAUCGAAGACGAUCAGAUACCGUCGUAGUCUUAACCAUAAACUAUGCCGACUAGGGAUCGGAUGAUGUUAAUUUUUUAAUGACUCAUUCGGCGCCUUAC